GUGUAAGUAUGAACUAAUUCAGACUGAAAUUGCGAAUGACUCAUUAAGUCAGUUAUAAUUUGUUUGAUAGUAUCUACUACUUGGAUAACUGUAGUAAUUCUAGAGUUAAUACGUGCAACAAAUCCCGACUUCUAGAAUCGAUGCAUUUAUUAGAUAAAAUGGUUAACGUGUGCUCUGCCUGUUGUAUUGAUGAUUUAUGAUAAUUCAAAAGUUCUUAAUAGGGGUGGCAAUUUAAGCUAGUGGUCGUUUCCAUUUCUCCUCGUGUAG
rnacentral:lncRNA from 1 species